ACCACAUGUAAGAAUAAUCCACUUGUGUGAAACACAUAUUGUUAAAAAGCAUAUUAUUUAAGAAUUUAAACUGAUUCUUUUCAAUUAAAAGAAAUUCACAAAUUUAUUUAUUCAUCAAAAUUUUGAAAUUGUAAUCAACACUAUCAUCUUAUAUAGAUUAUAGAUAAUUUCAUUAACAAUAAAAUAAACCAACAUGAUGACUUCUCAUAAAUAUAUAUCACCGAUAAAACUAUAGGUUCCAUAUAAUACAUCCUACUAUAUAAAAGGGACUAUUUUGGAGGCUUCCAAGGUGUGCCACAUGGGCAAAAAAAUUCUUGGCCAACCAAUAUGCCAUGUCAUUCCAAACUGGGUUUCAGCCCAAAAAUUGGAAAAAAAAGUCACGUACUGGCCUAGCCUCUUACGUAUUAUGUUCAAAGUAAAUAUCAUUUCCCCCGUAACCCUAAGCGAAACAAAAUCAGCCUCCCCUGUAUCGAUGCUCGAUGCUGACAUUGAUUCCCUUCCUCUUCCCCAUCGCCUCCCGCAUAACGCCUCCAUUCAAGAUGGAACUUCAAUCAUCAGGUUGCACGGAUACGCCAACUUAGUGCCGUCUCACGUAUCGGGUUCGGCGCGGGGAUGGGUACGGCACGGGUACGGACGGAGAGGACUCAAAUGGGGACGGUUUGGUUAGUCGACCGAGACAUCUCGGAAACGUUUCUAAGCCAUGUUCAUGAUUUUUUUUUCUUGAAAUAUGAUUAAGAAAUGUUUAUAUUUAUCUUUUACAUGUUAAAAGAAAUUAAAAUGAGAUGAUGGAACCAUAGAAAUCAAGUAAGAAAAGUUGAUAAAAAAAAAUAAUCAAGUAAGAAAAAUUCUGGCGGCCAUAGAUUAAGACCACCAUUAUCCCAGGUCCUUAAGUGGAGUUUUUAAGAAAAGCAAUGAUUUAAUUAAAUCAAAAUAAAAGAAAAUCAAUGUAACCGAUCCUUAAUACAUAGUUUUGGUAAUCGAUCAUAAUGAAGUUUCUUAAUACACGUGUCAGCGAACUGUGAUUUAGGAUUUUUAUUUUUUUUUCUUUUCUUUCUUUCCUCUUCUCUCGUGUUUGGAUUCGAAGAAGAAAAACACAGAGACGCCCGCUUGAUCGCCGGCAUUCUGUUUCUCUCCGGCCGCCGAGUCUUUCACCUUUCGUUGUAAACCUCUCAGAAACGGCAUCGGAGAGAGGAGGCGUGAAGGGCUCGAGGUGGCGCUGGAGUUAUGUCAAGGUUCCUUGGAUUUUCGAUCUUCUUCGAGUCCUUCUCCUCUUCCCCGGGGAUCUUAUCUUCUCCACCGUCGGAAAUGUUGUUAUGUUCUCUCUUCAUCUUCUCUGUUUCACCCAAUUGUGUUUUUUUUUGCAACUUUAUAAACUUUUUCUGUUGCUCUUGCUAGUGUGAUUGUUGAGGCUAUGAAAGUUGACAGCUUGCACAGGCUAUGCUCCUCUGUGGAACCUAUUCUCCGUAGAGUUGUAAGUUCUGAUUUUGUCUCUCUUUUGUUCUUGUCUAAAUCAGACACCAUCAACUAUGCUUGGUUCUUGUUUAAAUCACUAUGAUUGUAGUCUUAUUGUCCGAAGGUGUAUGAUGCUUGUCAUGUCUCAAUGUUUUACUUUGUUUUUGUCUGAAGGUAUGCACUCACUCAUCUGAGAUUGCUCAAACUGGCUGAAGAUCCUGCUACUAGACCUGUUUUUGAAGUUCGUUGUGUCUCUGUAAUCGGCUAAAAGCAUCUGACACUUUAUUUUGUUGCAGAUUAACUACAGAAUACGUUUGAGGAUCGUGAGAAUGAGGUAUAUACUUAACCUUUACAUAAUGACAAAAACUCUUUUUUCUCAGUUUGGCAUUUCUUUUGAGCUAAUAAUUUUGACUUUGCUUUCAACAUAUCAGUGCUUGUUCUUGAUAGAGCAUUCUACCAAGCAAGAAACGAGGUGUUAGAAUUCGUGGUAUCAUAAUCUGAAACCCUUGAACCUCUUUAUGUUUUGGUUUAUUCAUAUCUCAUGUGUGUUCAGUUAAAUAAUUCGAUGGAGGUUUCAAUGAUUGAAAGUUUGUUUUGCCAGGCUCGAUUUAAAAGCUGGAACUUUUGAUAAACUUGGUAGCCAUGACGACAUUGCUACAUCUUGGUUCAUCUAAAACUUAUCUACUGUUUUCAACACUAUUAAACUAUUUUAUCAUCUUGGAUUAUGUUUUGUUGAUUGUGAUUGUGUACUUUGUUGAUUGUGUAAUGUGUUUUAAGAAACCUAAAUUAA